CAAGUGAAAUUGUGGUGGAUGAAUUUGGCUCUGUGCCUAAAUGUAUUACAGAGCAUCCAGGAUUUAGGCCAUUGUGCCUAGAGCCCUGGUCACUGAGAUUUGCGGCUGAUAAAUACAAAACGAAGCUCAAAGAAAGAUACAAGAAAACAAAAUCAGAUUUCAGGUUCUUUCGUGCUGUAUCAUACAGAGAAUUUACAAGGCUCGUUCAUGGACGUCUGGGAACAGAAAGGAUCCCCCUCCCAGCUUGUGCCUACAAUGUUAUCCGUCAACAAUUUUCAGAACAGGACUUAGUUGGUUAUCAUUCGGAAUAAUUAUGAUAAUUAUAAUGCAAUUUUUUAAUGAUGGUAACCUAUUGGCCUGAGCUAGUUUUCUAAGGCAAUCAAAGACUGGUCAUAUUAUAACAUACUUGAUAAAAAUCUUAUUGCAAUGUGUGCUUAAAUAUUUUACUUUAUUUACAAAAUACAAGGCUAGAGGAG